rnacentral:rRNA from 1 species
GACGAACGCUGGCGGCGUGCCUAAUACAUGCAAGUUGAGCGCUGAAGGUUGGUCCUUGUACCAACUGGAUGAGCAGCGAACGGGUGAGUAACGCGUGGGGAAUCUGCCUUUGAGCGGGGGACAACAUUUGGAAACGAAUGCUAAUACCGCAUAAAAACUUUAAACACAAGUUUUAAGUUUAAAAGAUGCAAUUGCAUCACUCAAAGAUGAUCCCGCGUUGUAUUAGCUAGUUGGUGAGGUAAAGGCUCACCAAGGCGAUGAUACAUAGCCGACCUGAGAGGGUGAUCGGCCACAUUGGGACUGAGACACGGCCCAAACUCCUACGGGAGGCAGCAGCAGGGAAUCUUCGGCAAUGGACGAAAGUCUGACCGAGCAACGCCGCGUGAGUGAAGAAGGUUGUCGGAUCGUAAAACUCUGUUGGUAGAGAAGAACGUUGGUGAGAGUGGAAAGCUCAUCAAGUGACGGUAACUACCCAGAAAGGGACGGCUAACUACGUG